rnacentral:rRNA from 1 species
UACGUAGGGGGCUAGCGUUGUCCGGAUUUAUUGGGCGUAAAGAGCUCGUAGGCGGCUCAGUAAGUCGGGUGUGAAACCUCCAGGCUCAACCUGGAGACGCCACCCGAUACUGCUGUGGCUAGAGUCCAGUAGGGGAGCGUGGAAUUCCUGGUGUAGCGGUGAAAUGCGCAGAUAUCAGGAGGAACACCAGCGGCGAAGGCGGCGCUCUGGGCUGGAACUGACGCUGAGGAGCGAAAGCGUGGGGAGCGAACAGG